rnacentral:rRNA from 1 species
UGGGCAACCUGCCCCUCUCUCUGGGAUAACCCCGGGAAACCGGAGCUAAUACCGGAUACUCCGGCUGGAUCGCAUGGUCCGGCUGGGAAAGGUCCGCCGGAGAGGGAUGGGCCCGCGGCCUAUCAGCUUGUUGGUGGGGUGACGGCCCACCAAGGCGACGACGGGUAGCCGGCCUGAGAGGACGACCAGCCACACUGGUACUGAGAUACGGUCCAGACUCCUACGGGAGGCA